rnacentral:lncRNA from 1 species
UUUCCCCAUGCACAUACAAUGACUAGCCUCCUGAUCCAUUCAUUGGCCUAAGUUUGAUGCCACAUUGAUUCCAUCCACAAACUACUAACUGAUUUCUGCUGUCUUGAUGAUAUUAGAGUGUUUCAUCAACUAUUAAGUUAAUCCUCAAGUCAGACUUAACCCCGGAGACACCUGACCCUUAAUUUUUUUUUCCAGUUGCACAAACUUGCCAUUUCAUUCUGGAUAUGCAAAAUGAAUACAAUGUUGGAGGAGGAAGAAAACUUGGAAGAAAAUGAUAGGUGAGUAACAACAAUGAUUAAAGAGC